CAGCAGCCGCGGGAAAACGUAGGGCGCAAGCGUUAUCCGGAAUUAUUGGGCGUAAAGAGCUCGUAGGCGGUUUGUCGCGUCUGCCGUGAAAGUCCGGGGCUCAACCCCGGAUCUGCGGUGGGUACGGGCAGACUAGAGUGAUGUAGGGGAGACUGGAAUUCCUGGUGUAGCGGUGAAAUGCGCAGAUAUCAGGAGGAACACCGAUGGCGAAGGCAGGUCUCUGGGCAUUAACUGACGCUGAGGAGCGAAAGCAUGGGGAGCGAACAGGAUUAGAUACCCCGGUAGUCCCUGUCUCUUAUAC
rnacentral:rRNA from 1 species